CUGGAGGGCUGAAAAAAAUUUUUGUGUUUACUGUUAUCAAAAAAUUAUGCGAAUUCAUGAAUUUUUUUAGAAAUUAGCAUAUUAUGAGAAAUAAAUGUGAGAAAUUAAUCUAAAACUGAGUGAAUGUGAUGUAAUAUAGUCUACUAAUGUGUAUAAAAGACAUUUUGAGACCAAUUAAUAAAUUAUCAGCAUGUAGUGACCACUUUUGUAGCUGUGGUCACAUAUGACCAUCCAUGCAUUUAAGGGUUAAGGUAAAAGUAGUCACAAGAAAUGUAUUUUUUGUUAGUGUCUAAUCAUAAAUGAAAAAUAAUAAAGUCUGUUUUUCUAAAUCGCCCUUUUCGUAAUGUCAUGUCUGGUUAAGCAUCUAUUAUAAAUAAUAUGGUAAACUCUUUCUAUCUAACUCUGGUCUAAAUUCUUUACAGCAUCUGUUCUCGGUUGGCUAUAAAUAGCAAUGGCAAAGUGCCUAGGAGUGACAAAGUGCCUUAUACCCUCAAACUUCUGCGACUCUACGUUUUGGUAUCCAACAUACGACAUAUCAGCACAUCUGUAAUGUGUUCGUUUGGUUUAGUAUACUCGCAGUAACUCAUCUGGAGCACAUCAUGUGAUUACAGUUCUUUUCUUUACUCCGGUAUAUUCUGAAUGAAUUUCAUCAUUACGAUCGAACAACACAGAAAAGUCAGAUUCAGGUUAUACACGUAUGAUGGCUGGAAUCAAGCUAGUUGUUGAGGAAAUGGGUGAUAUGAUCGAUACAAUAUUCCAAUAAUAGUAAUUUUAAGGCAUUUCUGACUAUUUUAAGCAUACCGUACCUAUAUAAUGAACUUUGAGUUAUAUUUACUUACUUAAAAUGUAGAUCGACAGCGUCAACUCUUUAUUAUUACUGUUUCUAAAAGAAAAUUUCAUGUAUGUGGCAACAACAUUUUUAGAAAAACAUUUUUUUUUCAAGAGUUUUACAACUAUGAGCUAACAUACCUAUCUUUUUUUCUAUCGCUCGAAUAACUUUCAAAAUUUUUCCAUUUUGUACUUGAAGACGAAUUUAACGUAGAUAAUUUACCUCGCCUCAAACACCUACGUCGGCUAUACGUCCUCGUCCUCACCCAAAAUUUCAAGUAAAGAGUCAAUUUAAUGUAAAAAAUCAUCUUUUAAAUCAUAGAGUCAAUUAUUUAAUGUAAACAAUCAUCUUUAAAAUCAUAAAUUGCACAAUCAACUUUGAAAGUCGAAUAUCUGCGUGAAUAUUAUUAAACGAGGUUCGAAGCUCGCCGACUGGAGGUUCAUACACCGAGCCAGACCGGAUCUAUUGCCAUUGAACGGGGCUAAAAGAUGGAUGCUCAAUGGCGGGGCACUCGACAAGAGAUGCCGGAGAUGUGGGUGCGCGGUGAAGACCCUGCCCCUCGUCCUCAUCUGUCAGUGACCAGCAGUACUCGGAAGUCGGAGGCCUGGAAACGCAGACACGAUCACGCUGUGCUUGACAGACUCGCCGUGGCAAAAAAUGACAAGGAUUGGGGAAUCAUAAGCCCACCUUAACUGUAGGUACCCAUAACCCUUUAUUCAUCUUUCAACUUUUGCCAAAACCAUAACCCUAAAUUAUCAAUGUGAAAAAAAGUGCUUACUAGUACAGACAUGUAUAUUAAUAAAACCAAAUUUGUGAUCGUAUUUGAUAGGUAUUAAGAGACAAUAAGUUUCUCUUCGAACUGAAUACUUUUUCGGAUAUAAAAAAGAAAAACAACCUGCAUUAAGUUUGGCCAAUUGAUACAAUAUUCAUAUGAUUUAUGAAAAGUUUUCUUUUCUUUUUUGGAUGGCGAUAUGUACGCGAUUAAUGCAAAAAAUAAAUUUAAAAUUUUUAAAUAAAAAUUUAAUUGAAAAAAAAAUUUAAAAUUAUUAAUUUAAAAAAAAAUUCAAAAAAUUGAUUUAAUUUUUCAGUUAAACAAAAAAGAAAUAUUAUUUUUUAUCAAAAAAAAUUAAAAUUAGAUUAGAAUUGUGGUAUUAUUUACAACUUGUUUAAAAGUUAAAAGGUUGAAAGUUAAAACACUUGUUUAAAACAAGGAAAACGUUUAAAACGUUUUUGUUUAAAACAGUUUCCUUGUUUUAAAUUAAAGUGUGAAAUUUCGAUUUUUUGGCUGUACUUACACUGUUUCAUACAGUGUUUCAUACAAGCAUUAUUUGAAAAUUUUGGGUCCACAUCCCUACUUAAAAAGGGUUGCAAAUAAAGUAUUGAUAAUCCUAAUGAAAUUAUAAACACGACCAACGAUCCAAUUCGCCAAUUUUCACGUUUGUUAUCCUUUUGAAAGAUGUUUUCGUCCUGGUUAGGACUUGUAUCAGCAUCAGUGUAUUUUUUAAUUUUUUUUACUGAUUUUGAGGUUUUUUUGUUAUAUCUUUUCCCCUGAAACAAAAUCAACAAAACAUUUUUAGCCAAAUUUUUGUAAAAAAUGAUGGCUAUUGCAGUAGGCCGAACUAUGGAUAAAAAGGUCGGGGGGGGGUCAAAAAUUUUGAUAGUUCUCGACGUUUUGAGCUCAAAUUGGACGAUUCCUGGUGUGUCAGUUUUUAUGUAUCCAGGGGCACGCUAGUGUCCCACCCCGCCCUCCACCUCCGAGAGCAACGCAAAACGAAAAUAAUCUCCUCACACCCCAUCCCUCUUGCCCACAAUAUUUUUCAGGAAAAGAAUCAUACUUCAAUGAGUUCCAAACAAAAAAAAUUUGAAUUCACCCAAAAUGUGUGGAGAAACAUGAGUCUAGCUACAUGAAUUUUUUCAAAAAUUUUUCAGCUUCACCUUGGGGGUGGGGAGUGGUGGAUAUUGAUGAAAGAGAAUUCGAAAUCACCAUUCAUCUCCAAACCUAAUUCUGGUACACUAAAUAUUGUUUCUUUCAAAAAUAUAUCUGCGUUAGUACUAUAGAAAUUGGAAUUGUUUUCAAAUUUUUCCUCCUGGUGGUGGGUCAUGUUAUUAAAACUUGAAAAACACUCAAAAAUGUGGUUUUUUUUGCCAGUAAUAUAAAUAAUUCUGCAAUUUUGCGUUGAAAAUUCAAUUUUGAGUCCAUAGGCAUUCCCUUCCUCAAUUUUAGGCCGAAAGUAGAUUAACAAUUUGGUUUUCGUUGUUGAGAAAGUCUUCAUUGUCUUCUUCUAACACGGUUUUUUUUUUUUAUUAGGGUGUUUUUGGCAUCUGUAACAAAUUAUCAACAAAAUGUUUGUUAACAUAAGUAUAUUUAAAAUUGAAUUUAUUUCAUGCAUUGGAGGUAUAGACACCGGACCUACUGAAUAAUAUCGAACUAUCAUGUGUUAAAUCCAUUCUAUACCAUGUUACCCAGAGUUCAACGGGUACCCAGAUUGUUGAAUCCGCAGGUUAGACCCGGAAAUGAACUGGUUACCCAGUUCUGGGACUGGGGUAGUGGAAACCUGUGGGAAAUGUGACGUUUCCACUUGAAAGUUACAUUUUUGGGCAAUUUUUUUUUCAUCUUUAUAGAGCAAUCUGUUGGGAAAUUCCACUUAUGUAGAAAAUCAUACUCGAAUUAAUCGUACAUGAUUGUUGAACAAAAAAAUAACAACUUUUUAUUUUAUCAAAAAAUAAUAAAAAUAAAUAGUAAGUUCGUUGAACUUACGAGAAAAGCGAAGUACGCUCGCGAUACAAUAUAAACUUUGAAAGUUACAUGAUGACAAAAUACAAAUGAAUGACUAGAAUAAUUUUUAAAACGUAACAUAACAAUGUUUCAAUAAAUUCAAAACAACAAAUAACCAUUUAUAUUUCUGAAACUACACCAAUAACGCUGCCAGUUAUUUUUAUCUAAUUUUAUUUUAUUUUAUUUUAAAAAACAAAUCUAAAUUUUGAUAGGAAAAUUAAAAAACGAGUUUUUCAUUUUUCCAACACAAUCCUAGCAAAAUUUAUAUGAAAUAGGUACUAAAAAUAACGUCAUUUACUUACGUAAAUCCUACUACUUGGAUGGUUAAUUGGACAUUCAGGCUUCAAGGAAAUUAUUGGGGCUUUUUCGCCCUCAUCGCUGGAUGGUAUUUUUUUAUGCAAGUACAUACAAUAAUGUAUAAGUAACAUUAGAGAUAACUGAAUAUAAUCAACACAAGAGGUAUUAAGGGGACAAUUUCUUCUGGUGGAUGUUUAUAACCUUUUGAUAUCGACAUUCACUCAGAUGGUAAAAGUACAUAUAAAUCAAUAAUUGAUAAAAUAUCAUCAUUGGCGAAAACUUAUGAGAAAACUGGUAAAACAAACAAUCUCACUCCUUGCACUCUUAUUCACUCCGACUCCUACUCCACUCUUGACUUUUAGAUAAUUGCAACACUGGUAAGUAUCACCUAUUGUAAAGCUCUUUAAUACAAGUAUGGAAAUAGAUUAUGCUCUUAAGAAAGUCAUAGCAUUUUACGUAUGUGUUACAUACUGCGCAUGGCAGGUUGGUGUCGUGACACGGUGGAGCAACCAUUGGGGUGCAACAUUGUACGUGAACAGCUGAUUUGAUGCGUGCUCGCGCACUGCGCAGUACGUAAAACUUACGUGAAAUCCUAUGACUUUCUUAAGAGUAUAAUCUAUUUCCAUACUUGUAUUAAAGAGCUUUAACCUAUUGUACCAUGUAUGUGUACUUACCCCCCCCCCAAUUCAUCUAAAAAUGUAAAAAAAGUUGUUGGGCAGUGAGGAACUCAAAAGGGCUUAUCCCUCAAAAUGACAAAUUGACAAAGACAAUACCUACUUACCGACUUGAAAUCAAGAACUGGUGGUGCAUAGUACUGUUUUGUCCAUCCUCCUCCAAAAAAGAAAAAAAAAUUCUUACUAUUCUACAUAUAUACCUAACAAACUGAUGCAAUAUGAGACGUACUACAUACUAGAACUAUUAUACUGUUACAUUUUUACGAAAAAUCUCAAAAGCCAUUGCUUAAGAAAUGGAUAAUCUUAUAAAUUUUUAUUCUGCAUAGAAUACAUGUGUAGAAUAAGUAAGAGGUAAGUAAGUAUAGGUACAUAGAAUAAAUUUUUAAAAAAUUUUCACCGUUAUAAUGCUUAAAUCCUUCAAAAAUGUUCAUUAGAGUUUGGGAAAAACUAUAAGAAAGAACCGGAAUUUUUCAUUUACACUUCUAACAAACUAACCAUUACAUUAUUUUGGUUGGAAAUUUAAACACGUAUUUGAAUUCCUCGGGUGAUUUCACCCAAUUUUGAUCGGUCACCUGACACUUGCUCAAUUAUCACAAGACUCAAAAUCUUGACUCAAUUUUGAGCUCAAAAUUCUCUAAAAUGUUCAAAUUCAAAACAUGUUUUGAUCAGAAUAAUUUAAAUUCCUCGUGUAAUUUUGACCCAUUUUGAUAGGUUUGCAUUGCAUGACUUUUUCAAUUAUAUCUAUCUCAAAAUCAUGAUUCAAUUAUAUAAAUACAUUCAUUUGUUGCAAAAUUGGAAUUUCGAUAGGUUGCAAGGUCACUUUGUUCAUUUCUUAUGCAUUCCUGGAGAAAAGUAAAUUGUUGAACCCUAAAUAAUAGAUUGUUGGAAAUUUUAUUCUCUACAACUUCGGUUCAAUGCAUUUUUCACUUAGAACACUUCGUUUCACCUCCAAAUUGAUCUCAAAAUUGAACAUGAGUGAAAAUCAAUCAUUAAAAAAAUUGAUUGUUUGGUAUUUUUUUUGAGGUGAGGUAUCUCACAUUAGAGCUUUUUUUUUCAACGAGUUUGGAAUACAAAAUACAGAUUAAUAAUGGUUCCAUCAGAUUCUGUGUUUGAAGUUUACACAAAAAUCAAUCAUAAAAGAAAAAUUGAUUUUUUAGUCCUGUGUCCACUUUUUGAAUGAGUUGUCACAAUAUUUUCAUUUUCAAUGGCACCCAUGCAAAACCCAGAAUGAACCAAAAAGGGAAUGUGGAAACUUGUCAAUAGUCAAGAACUGCAACAUGAGCUGAUGGGUAAAAAAAGUUGAAUUUUCAAAGCGGCAGAAUGCAUCCUCAAGAAUCAGUUGAUGUCAAAGUCAAACUCUAAAAUGGGCUCUAAAAGGGAGGUUCAAAUUGAAAAGUUUCAAAAACAUAUCAUGGGUAUCAAAAUAUGUGUUUUUAAAGGGCGCAUAAUACAUCUUUGAAUUUGAAGACCAUUUGGCUGAUUCAACUACAAGGCUCAAAGGGAUACUUUGUAUCCUCAUAUACCAGAUAUCAGAACAUCAGUGAUGCGUAGAAUCGUUAUUAUUUUUUUUGGAUAUAGAGGAUUCGCCUUAAGGUAUCAAAGUGCCAGCUGUAUACAGGAAUGUUCUGGUGUAUUUUUAACCCAUAUACACACUCGUAUAAUUAAUUCUUGACUUUAUCACUUUUCAGAAAAAUGAAUUCGCAUAUAUACCUAAUGAAAUUUUAGUUUUUUGAGAAUUACCUACUCAAAAACUAAGCACUCUAGAAAAAAACUAACGACAUUAUGUUGAUUGGAAAUUUAAUUCUCUAUAACUUUGUUAUCAUGCAAUUUUUUUGGAUGCUUCCUUUUGCCUCCACAUCAACUUUAAUGAGAGGUUAUAACUCAAAAUGUUUUCCUAACAUUGAAAUAUUUUCUCUUUAGAAUUUUAUUUUUUAAAGUAUUCUUAUGCUAUUAAAUGAAGGUAAGAUACCCAAUUUUUAAAAUGAGAUGCUAUGAUUCCUUCACAAUUAAUUAUAAGUUGCUGAAAAUAAUGUAUCAAGUUUUAAAAAAAAAGAAAAUCGCUCUCCUGUAAAAUUUCACUUUUUUGAGAUGUAACCUUAUUACUCCCAAGGUGCGAUUUCUAAAAAUCUAAAACUACUUACUUGUAUAGUAAUAUGUACUAAUAUACUUAUUCAUUUCCACAUUCACUUUUUUCAUAUCAAUUUUUUGACAUUGAAUGCAAGUUAUGCCAAAAGUCAUAAUAAGUAAUUUUGUUCAUUUUUCAAAGUAUUGCCGACCCUAUGGUCAAAAUCGGAUCUUAGCUCUGCCAACAGCUCACCUCGCUAGCUAUACCAGUUGUUGUACGCAUUCCUCCUCACGCUUUUGACUUCUUGCUGCCCAGUGGAAUACCUUGGUGAUCAAGAAUUACAAAUUUGAAUUUAUGCUGCGGAUACGCUUUCUAAGGACGCUUGGAACUUAUCCCAUUCAUCAUGGACCAACACAUCGAGUCAUGCCUUACGCGUUCUUAUAUCUCCACCGUAUCGUAGGAUAUAAGUCAUGAAGGAUCAUAAAUGAGGAACCGUGGAAUGUAACUAGCACUCGGGCGUCGGGGUUAAAAGCUCGUCAGUAGACACGGCACUCCAGAGAACGCGAUGUCCUUAACUAAGACCCCAACCGGGGGUUGUAUAUGAGCUUUUCGGUUUUGGGCUCAAUAUGCAACUAAAAACGUUGAAAGCCUGCCAUCACAUUACGCAUUCGAUUUAUUACGUUUUCUACUAGAAGUUUAUAAUUAUCAUUUAGUUAUAGAAGACUCAUUCAUGUAUACAAUUUGAGCAACCUGUGAUAUUACGUGUUUACACAAUCAAUACAUGAAUUUAUCAUUUGGCUAA